rnacentral:rRNA from 1 species
AGCAGCCGCGGUAAUUCCAGCUCCAAUAGCGUAUAUUAAAGUUGUUGCAGUUAAAAAGCUCGUAGUUGAAUUUCGGGAUCAAGGAAUCGGUCAUGCCUUGGUAUGUACUGGUUUUAUUGGUUCUCACCUUCUAAAGAACCAUAAUGUCAUUUAUUUGAUGUUAUGGGGAAUUAGGACUGUUACCUUGAAAAAUUAGAGUGUUUAAAGCAAGCUUACGCUUGAAUACAUUAGCAUGGAAUAAUGAAAUAGGACGUUUGAUUCUAUUUUGUUGGUUUCUAGGAUCGACGUAAUGAUUAAUAGGGAUAGUUGGGGCAUUAGUAUUCAAUUGUCAGAGGUGAAGUUCUUGGAUUUAUUGAAGACUAACUACUGCGAAAGCAUUUUGCCAAGGA